GCCCGACGGUGAGGGAUGAAAGCUGGGGGAGCGAACCGGAUUUAGAUACCCGGGUAGUCCCAGCUGUAAACGAUGCAGGCUAGGUGUUAGGGCGGCUACGCGCCGCCCUAGUGCCGCAGGGAAGCUGUUAAGCCUGCCGCUUGGGGAGUACGGCCGCAAGGCUGAAACUUAAAGGAAUUGGCGGGGGAGCACCACAAGGGGUGAAGCUUGCGGUUUAAUUGGAGUCAACGCCGGAAAUCUCACCGGGGGCGACAGCAGAAUGAAAGCCAGAUUAAAGGUCUUGCCAGACGAGCUGAGAGGAGGUGCAUGGCCGUCGCCAGUUCGUGCCGUGAGGUGUCCUGUUAAGUCAGGCAACGAUCGAGACCCGUGUCCCCCGUUGCAACCAGUCUUGAGCUGGGCACACUGGGGAGACCGCCGCCGAUAAGGCGGAGGAAGGAGCGGGCCACGGCAGGUCAGUAUGCCCCGAAUCUCCCGGGCCACACGCGAGCUGCAAUGGCAGGUACAAUGGGUCCCGACCUCGAAAGGGGAAGGAAAUCCCGAAAGCCUGCCGUAGUUGGGAUCGAGGGUUGAAGCCCACCCUCGUG
rnacentral:rRNA from 1 species